AGUGAACGCUGGCGGUAGGCCUAACACAUGCAAGUCGAACGGCAGCACAGUAAGUACUUUCUCUUACGGGUGGCGAGUGGCGGACGUGCGUGGAAUACAUCGGAAUCUACGUGUUCGUGGGGGGUAACGUAGGGAUACUUACGCUAAUACCGCAUACGACCUACGGGUGAAAGCAGGGGAUCUUCGGACCUUGCUCGAUUGAGUGAGCCGAGGUCGGAUUAGCUAGUUGGCGGGGUAAAGGCCCACCAAGGCGACGAUCCGUAGCUGGUCUGAGAGGAUGAUCAGCCACACUGGAACUGAGACACGGUCCAGACUCCUACGGGAGGCAGCAGUGGGGAAUAUUGGACAAUGGGCGCAAGCCUGAUCCAGCCAUGCCGCGUGGGUGAAGAAGGCCUUCGGGUUGUAAAGCACUUUUGUUGGGAAAGAAAAGCAGCAGGUUAAUACCCCGCUGUUCUGACGGUACCCAAAGAAUAAGCACCGGCUAACUUCGUG
rnacentral:rRNA from 1 species